UACUAGCGGUCCAAGUCGCAGCCAUUUUUAUUGGGUCUAAAACAUCCGUAGCUUGCUUGGUAAGUUUCUUGUGAAAUCCGGCUUCUCAAGAGUCGGGCGCGCAAGAAGUACUGCCAGGCUAGAGACUGGAAGACGUAGGAAGUACGUUCAAAGUAGCGGUAAAAUGUGUUAAUCUUGAACGGACUCACAACAGCGAAGGCAUCCUACGAGGACAGUUCUGACAGUAAGGGAUGAAGGCUAGGGGCGCAAAACGG
rnacentral:rRNA from 1 species